rnacentral:rRNA from 1 species
GACGAACGCUGGCGGCGUGCUUAACACAUGCAAGUCGAACGGAAAGGCCCUGCUUUCAGGGUACUCGAGUGGCGAACGGGUGAGUAACACGCGGGUGAUCUGCCCUGCACUUCGGGAUAAGCUUGUGAAACUGGGUCUAAUACCGGAUAGGAACCAUCUUUAGUGUGGUGGUUGGAAAGUUUUUUCGGUGUAGGAUGAGCUCGCGGCCUAUCAGCUUGCUGGUGGGGUAAUGGCCUACCAAGGCGGCGACGGGUAGCCGGCCUGAGAGGGUGUACGGCCACAUUGGGACUGAGAUACGGCCCAGACUCCUACGGGAGGCAGCAGUGGGGAAUAUUGCACAAUGGGAGCAAGCCUGAGGCAGCGAAGCCGCGUGGGGGAUGAAGGCCUUCGGGUUGUAAACUCCUUUCGCUAGGGACGAAGCGUUGUUGUGACGGUACCUAGAUAAGAAGCACCGGCUAACUACGUG